rnacentral:rRNA from 1 species
CGGUGGCGGAACCGGCGCACGGGUGCGUAACACGUGGGAAUCUACACCGAGGUAUGGAACAACGCAUGGAAACGUGUGCUAAUACCAUAUAAUGGCUCCGGCCCAAAGCUCCGGCGCCUCGGGAUGAGCCCGCGCCUGAUUAGGUAGAUGGUAGGGUAAUGGCCUACCAUGCCUACGAUCAGUAGCUGGUCUGAGAGGAUGAUCAGCCACACUGGUACUGAGACACGGACCAGACUCCUACGGGAGGCAGCAGUGAGGAAUAUUGCGCAAUGGAGGAAACUCUGACGCAGCCAUGCCGCGUGAGUGAAGAAGGCCUUAGGGUUGUAAAACUCUUUCAGUGGUGAAGAUGAUGACGGUAACCACAGAAGAAGCUCCGGCUAACUUCGUGCCAGCAGCCGCGGUAAUACGAAGGGGGCGAGCGUUGUUCGGAAUCACUGGGCUUAAAGCGUGCGUAGGCGGUUUUUCAAGUCAGGAGUGAAAUCCCGGGGCUCAACCCCGGAACUGCUCUUGAAACUGGAAAACUAGAGUCCCGGAGAGGUUGGCGGAAUUCCGAGUGUAGAGGUGAAAUUCGCAGAUAUUCGGAGGAGCACCAGUGGCGUAGGCGGCCAACUGGACGGGUACUGACGCUGAGGUACGAAAGCGUGGGGAGCAAACAGGAUUAGAUACCCUGGUAGUCCACGCCGUAAACGAUGUGUGUUAGUUGUUGGGAGUCUUCGACUCUCAGUGACGGAGAGAAAUCAUUAAACACACCGCCUGGGGAGUACGGUCGCAAGAUUAAAACUCAAAGGAAUUGACGGGGACCCGCACAAGCGGUGGAGCAUGUUCUUUAAUUCGACGCAA